rnacentral:rRNA from 1 species
CGCCUUGCCAGCCCGCUCAGAAACUUAAAGGAAUUGACGGGGGCCCGCACAAGCGGUGGAGCAUGUGGUUUAAUUCGAUGAUACGCGAGGAACCUUACCUGGGCUCAAAUGUAUGUUGACGUAUUCUGAAAGGGAUACUUCUUCGGACAAUAUACAAGGUGCUGCAUGGUUGUCGUCAGCUCGUGCCGUGAGGUGUCGGGUUAAGUCCCAUAACGAGCGCAACCCCUAUCAUUAGUUGCCAUCAGGUCAAGCUGGGGACUCUAAUGAAACUGCCUACGCAAGUAGUGAGGAAGGUGGGGAUGACGUCAAAUCAGCACGGCCCUUACGUCCAGGGCUACACACGUGCUACAAUGGCCGGUACAAAGGGCAGCUACCUGGUGACAGGAUGCUAAUCUCAAAAGCCGGUCUCAGUUCGGAUUGAGGGCUGCAACUCGCCCUCAUGAAGCUGGAAUCCGUAGUAAUCGCGUUUCAACAGAACGCGGUGAAUACGUCCCUGCUCCUU